UACGAAGGGGGCUAGCGUUGCUCGGAAUCACUGGGCGUAAAGCGCACGUAGGCGGACUCUUAAGUCGGUGGUGAAAUCCUGGAGCUCAACUCCAGAACUGCCUUCGAUACUGAGAGUCUCGAGUCCGGGAGAGGUGAGUGGAACUGCGAGUGUAGAGGUGAAAUUCGUAGAUAUUCGCAAGAACACCAGUGGCGAAGGCGGCUCACUGGCCCGGUACUGACGCUGAGGUGCGAAAGCGUGGAGAGCAAACAGG
rnacentral:rRNA from 1 species